GGCGAACGCUGGCGGCAUGCUUAACACAUGCAAGUCGCACGGUCGGGGUAACCCGGCAGUGGCGGACGGGUGAGUAACGCGUAGGUAUCUAUCCAUGGGUGGGGGAUAACGGUUGGAAACGACUGCUAAUACCGCAUGACACCUGAGGGUCAAAGGCGCAAGUCGCCUGUGGAGGAGCCUGCGUUCGAUUAGCUAGUUGGUGGGGUAAAGGCUCACCAAGGCGACGAUCUGUAGCGGGUCUGAGAGGAUGAUCCGCCACACUGGAACUGAGACACGGUCCAGACUCCUACGGGAGGCAGCAGUGGGGAAUUUUGGACAAUGGGGGCAACCCUGAUCCAGCCAUGCCGCGUGAGUGAAGAAGGCCUUCGGGUUGUAAAGCUCUUUCGGCCGGGAAGAAAUCGUAUGGGCUAAUACCCUGUGCGGAUGACGGUACCGGCAUAAGAAGCACCGGCUAACUACGUGCCAGCAGCCGCGGUAAGCUCGUCUCUA
rnacentral:rRNA from 1 species